rnacentral:tRNA from 4 species
GGGCUCUUAGCUUAGUUGGUAGAGCGCCUGCUUUGCACGCAGGAGGUCAGGGGUUCGACUCCCCUAGAGUCCA